rnacentral:sRNA from 1 species
ACCCAAAAAAGAGCCCAGAACUUAUCCUGUUCUGGGCUUAGGGGAAUGGCUCUUUUUCAGAGCCUGCGCUAAUCGUUGCUUUUAUUUUAGUACAGGCUGAUAAGAAUGCCAUUUAUAAGGCUUGGUUAGAAUGAUAUACCGUCUC